rnacentral:rRNA from 1 species
UACGUAGGGUCCGAGCGUUGUCCGGAAUUACUGGGCGUAAAGAGCUCGUAGGUGGUUUGUCGCGUUGUUCGUGAAAACUCACAGCUCAACUGUGGGCGUGCGGGCGAUACGGGCAGACUAGAGUACUGCAGGGGAGACUGGAAUUCCUGGUGUAGCGGUGGAAUGCGCAGAUAUCAGGAGGAACACCGGUGGCGAAGGCGGGGUCUCUGGGCCGUAACUGACGCUGGAGGAGCGAAAGCAUGGGGAGCGAACAGG